CCUACGGGAGGCAGCAGUGGGGAAUUUUGGACAAUGGGGGCAACCCUGAUCCAGCCAUUCCGCGUGAGUGAAGAAGGCCUUCGGGUUGUAAAGCUCUUUCGCAAGGGAAGAAAACUUAUGAUCGAAUAAAUCAUGAGGUUGACGGUACCUUGAUAAGAAGCACCGGCUAACUACGUGCCAGCAGCCGCGGUAAUACGUAGGGUGCGAGCGUUAAUCGGAAUUACUGGGCGUAAAGCGUGCGCAGGCGGUUUUGUAAGUCGGAUGUGAAAUCCCCGGGCUCAACCUGGGAACUGCGUUCGAAACUGCAAGGCUAGAGUGUGUCAGAGGGGGGUAGAAUUCCACGUGUAGCAGUGAAAUGCGUAGAGAUGUGGAGGAAUACCAAUGGCGAAGGCAGCCCCCUGGGAUAACACUGACGCUCAUGCACGAAAGCGUGGGGAGCAAACAGGAUUAGAUACCCUGGUAGUCCACGCCCUAAACGAUGUCAACUAGUUGUUGGUAGAGUAAAAUCUAUGAGUAACGUAGCUAACGCGUGAAGUUGACCGCCUGGGGGAGGUACGGUCGCGAGAUAAACUACGAAGAAGUAGAGNGNGAGAGNGCGAGACGACGACGAGGGAGGAGG
rnacentral:rRNA from 1 species